UACAGCUUCCUACUUACAGACUUUCUCUGCCAAAAUCCGUAUUCCUCCUUCAUAACUUGCUUCCAAGAGCUUCCCCGUGAUCUCGGCCUAUUGUGAUCUCUUCUUUCCACCAGGUUCAUGACAUGAAAAGCCCCGGUUGCUCGCCUCAAGGAGCUGGCAGUGGAACUAGGGACACCGGUAAACAGAUAAAUCACAGUCGAAAAAUGAAUGCAACCACCAAGAUAUGAAUUGAGUGGAAACGAACAAUUUCCUAUGGGAAAACAGAACAAAGAAGCCUGCUUGCGAGAGUCUAAGAAGUCUGCCCAGCCAGUCAGGGAUAUCUGAGGAACAGGGAGAAGAAUAAUUGACGUCGGGGCUUGGCUUUAUGGUCUUUACAGCUGUGAUCGGAUUAGAAGAAAGGCUGACAAAAGUGUUGUUUCCAUCCGCCUUUUACAAUCGGAGAGAAUGAAUGAGCUGCUUUCCAGUUUUCUGUUCCAAGUAUUAACUGGAUUCCCACUUCACUUUGCUUCCGUGAUUUCUCCUCUGCUUAUGUUAGCUUCCGUCUCACACGAUAUGUACAUAGCCCCAUCUCUGCCGAGCAAAUCAGAGGCUGAGCUCUGGGCUGUGGACAGUGUCAGUGACAACAAGGGUGAGUCGUCCUCAGAUGAAUCAUCAGGUGUGGGAAAUGCGUUUGAGACACUCAAAAUAACUGGGGACUGAUGGGUGGCGGGGGGGGGCUUAAUAAAUACAAGCCUGCGAGACCUAACUUCUACACGUCUUCAGAAGGCUGAGUUGCUUUGAGAGGGAGAUACAGAAGAUGACAAUUUGCUGCCAGUGGCUGGUCCCAGACAAGGAGCUGUGACUAAACAGGAAAUCAGUUACUUAGCAGUUGAGCGGAUGUUUGAGUGUUCAAAGCACAGGCACAAUAGCUAUACUCUGAUAUGUCCUGUAAAGUUAAAAACAAAGCCAGGUUAACCCUGACAGAUGCACCCAAGACUGAUACACUUAGGUACUACCUGGUUGCAUCGCCUGGGGAUCUUAAUACUCUGUGAAUCAUUAUGAAUUAUAAUAUUUAAAGCUGUUGUUUAUUUGGUAUUUAUUGGGUGUCAUAAUGUUCCCAGUGCUACACAGGCGUAAUUUUUAAACCACCCCAAAAGUCCUGCAAGAGGUUAGGCGUGAUGGCUCACGUCUGUAAUCCUAGCACUUUGGGAGGCUGAGGUGGGCAGAUUUCUUGAGCCCAGGAGUUAAGAGACCAGCCUGGGUAACAUGGCAAGACCCCUAUCCCUAUAAAAAAAAUUUUUUUUCAAAAAAAAAAUCAGCCAGGCAUGACGGUGCAUGCCUGUAGUCCCAGCUACUUGGGAGACUAAGGUGGGAGGAUUACCCAAGCUUGGAGAGGUAGAGACUGCAGUGAGCCAUGAUGGCACCACUGCACUCCAGCCUGGGCAAUGGAGUGAGACC
rnacentral:lncRNA from 10 species